rnacentral:rRNA from 1 species
GAUGAACGCUGGCGGCGUGCCUAAUACAUGCAAGUCGAGCGAACGGACGAGAAGCUUGCUUUUCUGAUGUUAGCGGCGGACGGGCGAGUAACACGUGGAUAACCUACCUAUAAGACUGGGAUAACUUCGGGAAACCGGAGCUAAUACCGGAUCAUAUUUUGAACCGCAUGGUUCAAAAGUGAAAGACGGUCUUGCUGUCACUUAUAGAUGGAUCCGCGCUGCAUUAGCUAGUUGGUAAGGUAACGGCUUACCAAGGCAACGAUGCAUAGCCGACCUGAGAGGGUGAUCGGCCACACUGGAACUGAGACACGGUCCAGACUCCUACGGGAGGCAGCAGUGGGGAAUCUUCCACAAUGGGCGAAAGCCUGACGGAGCAACGCCGCGUGAGUGACGAAGGUCUUCGGAUCGUAAAACUCUGUUAUUAGGAAAGAACAUAUGUGUAAGUAACUGUGCACAUCUUGACGGUACCUAAUCAGAAAGCCACGGCUAACUACGUG